CAGUUGAACCUGACAGAGAGAAACAGUUACCACAGAUGUGAAAUUCAGUCUGCAGAUGUGUAAAAUGACCUGGGCUCCAUAGUGUACGGCGUCUGGUUCACCCACUCCCAGCUCCCAGUCCUCCAGUCAGACAAACCGAUCCAGUAAAAGCGAGGCAUGCUCCUGCGGGUCACAAAGUCCUGGACAGAGAGAAGUAUAAAGAGAAUUGCGGGAUGAGAGGGCAGCAAGCAUGGGUUACACGGAGCAGAUGCACUGACACUGGAUGAAGACACGGCACGGGAGUCUGGGACACACGGGGAUUUAUUGGUGAAUUACUUCACCACCUUGUAAAUAAACACUGUCUAAACUGAAGAGUUUAACGUUUGGGUCCUACUUCAGAAAUAGAGAGGAAUUACUUUAAACCUUUAAAUCAGGUGGUUUUAAGGAAAACAAGAAAAUCCCUCCAAAUAUCUUAAUUUGACAAAGGUACCGAAUCUACUCCACUAUAAAUAAGCAGUGCUUUAAUAUAAAUGUGUCAUUUUUAAUCUAAAUAUAUAAUGUUUUAAUAUCUAGUGUUAAAAAAAAAAGACCUCUGGUGAGACACCAGCUCCACUCCUGGACUCAGAUCCAGGACUUACAUUUUGCAUUGGGUAGCUCAUUUAUAAAAACUGACCUUCAUUUUGUUUACACUCAUGGAUGCUGUUGUCUCCACGCUGCCACAUUGUUCUGAUUUUUUUUUUUGUUUUGUUUACAUUUUCCACCUCUACUAGAUAGCUGUAACUGUCAUGAUAGGCUGUGUGGCAGGCAGGCCGGAAAGGUGGACCCAAGAGCAGGGCUCAGAGCCGGCAGGUUAAACUUAAAGCACAGCUUUGUUGCUCGGAAAAAAACUCCACAUAAAUAAAACUUCCAAAAAAACAAAACAAAACUCUGAACAUAGGAACUGAAACACUGGAACUGAGCAACUAAACAGAAGUAGAAGACAAACACACAGCUUACUGAGGGUAGCAAACAUUAACAACACGACAGAGGGCAAAGGCAAACACAGGGCUUAAAUACACAGUGGAGUAAUCAGGGAAUAGGAAACAGGAGGGAGACACAUCUGGGAGAAAUUAGGGCUAACCCGACAGGGGGAAGUAAAACGGAAUACACUGACAUAAGACAUGGACCUUCAAAGUAUAACAGGAAACAAGAAACAAAUCACAUCAAGACGCAGACUUGACACUGACUUGACACAAAACCUAAAAACUAAACUCAUAACCAGGACGAAACUAAAGCCUAGAAUAAUAAUAAUUAAAAUAGCACAACUAAAGAAUCAGAACAUAAAUCAUAAUACAGAGGAACGGAAGAAUACCAAAACACAAGAAACUGAAAAUGCUGGGUCAAAAUGACCCAGAACUGGGAUAAUAACUAGUUAUGCUGUGGAUCUAAACACCUUUAAGUUUGACAUAUAAAAUCUAUAAAUGCUAACCACAUUCAGAUUUUAAGUGUAGCACAGUAAUGUGCUAAAACUGUGUCCUAUUUUUGUUUUGUUUUUUUGUUUUUUGAGUGUUCUCCAAAAAGACAUUAACUACCUU